AAAAGCGCUAAGCUAAUGCGCCCAAUUUUUGCAUUAGAAUGCAUUUUAGGUGCCCCAACCCUAAGAAAAGCCACUAUCAUUUCUGCUUCGGGUCGGAUUGAGCCCGAUCCAAUUUGGGCCAAAUCAUAUAACUUUGUGCAGGAUGCAAAUUUGGGCUGCACUAUUUCGUGAACCACCCAACCAGUAGCGGCUCAAUUUUAUGGUCGUUGACACGCACACAUUGCAAGACGACGAGACAAGACGCGGCAGUCGCAGCUGGUUGGCUGGUUCACGUCGCGCGGCUGAUUGAAGGCUUGGAGAAGGCGAGACAGCGCGGCUGAACAGGCAAGCAAUGCAGCGGCUAAGCAGGCGAGUAGUGGCAGCGGCUGGUUGUUGGUUCACGUCGACGGUGACGUUUCUGGCUGUCGCUGAGUUGAAUUAGGGUUUGUGAAAACUGAAAUGAGAUUGGUUAAUUGUUUUGUGAUAAUUGAAGUGUAUGAUUGUAUAUGUUCGUGAUACUGGUAUGCAAUGUGUGCGUGUGACUGUGAUGUAUGCGCGUGUGAUACUGUGAUGUGUGCGUGUAUCUCAGUAGUUUUUUCUUUUUAAUAUAGGGUCGGGUUAGGUUGGGUCGGGUCUAUUUGAGCCCAAACAUGACCGAAAUUUGAUGGGACCUAUAAAUUUUGGCUCGAACCCAACUUAAAACCCGAAUAUUCAGAUCAAAGUCCGAAAAAAUUAGGAUCGGAUUAGUCGUGCCAAAAUUAGGAUCGAGUCAAAUUACCAUUCCUAGCAGAACGAUAAAUAUUGGAAAUUGCAAAGAUGACAAAGAUUGCGACUAAUUUAGUCCUCCCGGUUCUGGUGUAUGCAAGUUUGCAUUUUGUUACUAUCGUGAUGGAGGAAGGUUUUGCUUAACAAAAAUUCUCUCCUAGUCAUCACUAGAAAAAGUGACAAUCAUUUGUAUUUGAUAUGUUGAACAUCAACAUUUAUUAAUAAUGAAUAAUCUGUUUUAUA
rnacentral:lncRNA from 1 species